rnacentral:lncRNA from 1 species
CUCCACUGGGACUGUCCCCAAGGGUCACCUGUGGGUGAGGACGGCAUUGCUGACAGACAUCCAGAAGUUGGGGCCACAGGCUGGCAGAUUGGGAAGACGUGGAUGCCAGCCCCCAGUGUCCCUGAGGAGGGUGGUGCCCACCUCCCAGAGACCACAGCUCUGUGCCGUCUGCCCGGAGAUCGGCACUCCUCUGCAGAAACCUUGGCCCAGGUCCCAGGUGGAGACAAACAGGAACCUCUACCCUCCUCUGCCUGUUAGUACUGGAUGGUGUGAGCGAGGUCCCCCAGCUGCACCACAGCAGGGCAGGAGACAGCAGGGUGCCCGCCCAGAACAGUGGGAGCAGUGCUUCCUGUUGCAGCCCCCACCCAGCCAGGCACAGGCCCAGUGCCUCUGUGGGACUCCAUCCAGGACUUGUUGAAAUGGCCGAUGAUACAAAGGAGCCCCGACUUCACCCAUGGCCAGCUUCCCUCGCCAUCCUCCCUGCAGCCAAAGGACUCGCCCUCACCUGUUCUUUCUGAGACAAAUCAUCUGCCAGGUUUCCGCCUCGGGACACCCAAGCUCAGCACAGACAGCCUAGCAGCCUGGGUGACAGGAUCCCAGGGGACAGGAUUCUCUCCUUGCCAUGGGGAUGAGGACAAAUUCUCCCUUCAUCCUUGAGAUUGGACUCCCGCCACACAUCCUGGAGGAGCCUACAGAGAAGCCGGCAGGUCUCCCUCACCUGGAUGGUGCCAGCGGGUGGCCUGGACCACCCAGAGGCCCUCUCCUGCACCUGACAGGAAGCCCCUGGGGCAUACGUCUCCCCUGCCACUUCCACUGUGGCCACUGGAAGUGUGGCAGAGAAAAUAGCUAGGACAAAAAGAAGUCAAUGAUUUCAACCAACGGAAUUUCUUUGUCCUUUGUAAAAAUCAACACAUGAUCUGUUACUGAUUGGGAUGUGAAAUAAAACUAAAAAUAACAGCACACUGAGCCUGGCUCAGGGCUCAGCUCACCUUUACCACGGUCCAAGUUCAGUUUAUCAGAUCCCAAGGAGCAGCUAAGCAGCAAGUCAAACACAGGUGAGGGUGGAGGGCGGAGGGCGGAGCGGGGAGGGGGCUCUGGCCCUCUGCGUGCCCCCACCAACCCCCAGGUAGAGAACCAGCCAGCUCACCAGGGAGUGUGGCCAAGCAAGAAGCUAUACACAGAAUUCUGAGCCCACACCCUAAUCUGCCUCAGGUGGGGAGGCCACUCACUUCCCUUUUUGCCUCAGUUUCCCCACUGGGGUUACCAGGGUCUUCUGGCACAUUCCCUUGUUUUAAGGAACGGUGGAAGAGGGGUCCCCUUGAGAUCAGGUUAAGCUGUGAAACAUCCUGCCAGCGCCACAGGCCACUGGGUCCUGGAAGGUCAGGCCACAAAGACC